rnacentral:rRNA from 1 species
GACGAACGCUGGCGGCGUGCCUAAUACAUGCAAGUAGAACGCUGAAGGAGGAGCUUGCUUCUCUGGAUGAGUUGCGAACGGGUGAGUAACGCGUAGGUAACCUGCCUGGUAGCGGGGGAUAACUAUUGGAAACGAUAGCUAAUACCGCAUAAGAGUAGAUCUUGCAUGACAUUUGCUUAAAAGGUGCAAUUGCAUCACUACCAGAUGGACCUGCGUUGUAUUAGCUAGUUGGUGGGGUAACGGCUCACCAAGGCGACGAUACAUAGCCGACCUGAGAGGGUGAUCGGCCACACUGGGACUGAGACACGGCCCAGACUCCUACGGGAGGCAGCAGUAGGGAAUCUUCGGCAAUGGACGGAAGUCUGACCGAGCAACGCCGCGUGAGUGAAGAAGGUUUUCGGAUCGUAAAGCUCUGUUGUAAGAGAAGAACGAGUGUGAGAGUGGAAAGUUCACACUGUGACGGUAUCUUACCAGAAAGGGACGGCUAACUACGUG